GUCUAUGGCCAUACCACCCUGAAUGCACCCGAUCUCCUCCAAUCUUAGAAGCUAAGCAGGAUCGGGCCUGGUUAGUACUUGGAUGGGAGACCUAUAUGCCAAACCACAGUUUGGAAAGAGU
ensembl:rRNA 5S_rRNA 5S ribosomal RNA